rnacentral:lncRNA from 1 species
UACCAUCCCGGUCGUCCGGUACGUGUGUGAAGCUAUCAUUUGAAGAUUGAAUUGAAUAACCGAAAAGGUUGAAAAAAAAAUGAAUAUUUUAGAAUUUUCGGAGUUAUAAGGUGUUAGAAUGAAAAGAUGCUCAAAGAGCCACCCUCGAUGCUAUAUUAGUUAAAUCUCUAUUUUGAACGAUUUGCGACAAAUUGAGGUCAAUUUGGUUGAAUUUCUAAAAAUCAAUUUUCAUGAACCGUUACAUCUUGAUGGUUUUGAAUCAUUAAAUUAUUUUUGAUAACAUA